rnacentral:rRNA from 1 species
CCCUUAGAUGUUCUGGGCUGCACGCGCGCUACACUGAAGCGUUCAACGGGUAUCCACUUUGCCCGGGAGGGUUGGGUAAUCUUGUGGAAACGCUUUGUCAUGGCGAUACACCAUUGCAAAUAUUAAUCUUCAACGGGGAAUCUCUAGUAAGCGCUCGUGCUGGUUACGCCCCUGCCCUUUGUACACACCCCCCCUCGCUCCUACAGAUUGAGUGAUCCUGUGGACAACUCAGACUGCAGCACUGCUUGGUCUCCAGGCUUUGCAGCGGAAAGCUUAAUGAACCUUAUUAUUUAGAAGAAAAAGAAGUCGUAACA